rnacentral:rRNA from 1 species
GAUGAACGCUGGCGGCGUGCCUAAUACAUGCAAGUCGAGCGAACGGACGAGAAGCUUGCUUCUCUGAUGUUAGCGGCGGACGGGUGAGUAACACGUGGAUAACCUACCUAUAAGACUGGGAUAACUUCGGGAAACCGGAGCUAAUACCGGAUAAUAUUUUGAACCGCAUGGUUCAAAAGUGAAAGACGGUCUUGCUGUCACUUAUAGAUGGAUCCGCGCUGCAUUAGCUAGUUGGUAAGGUAACGGCUUACCAAGGCAACGAUGCAUAGCCGACCUGGGAGGGUGAUCGGCCACACGGGAACGGAGACACGGUCCAGACUCCUACGGGAGGCAGCAGUAGGGAAUCUUCCGCAAUGGGCGAAAGCCUGACGGAGCAACGCCGCGUGAGUGAUGAAGGUCUUCGGAUCGUAAAACUCUGUUAUUAGGGAAGAACAUAUGUGUAAGUAACUGUGCACAUCUUGACGGUACCUAAUCAGAAAGCCACGGCUAACUACGUG